rnacentral:misc_RNA from 1 species
AACCAUUCUCACCUGCGGCUAGACCUGCGGAAGGAUCAUUAAAAAGAGUGUGUACCCCUCUGUAAAAUGAGUGGGUUACCUCCCGUCCUUUGUUGACCUCUUAGGAGGUUAUUUUGAACUUUCUGCUUCGGUGGGGUUAAACCUACCGGAACACCCUCAAAUUCUCAUCAUUUAAAAAUUGUUCAGUCUGAUUUUUGUUAAUAAAAACAAAAAACUUUUAACAACGGAUCUCAGAUCGGA